UACGGAGGGUGCAAACGUUGCUCGGAAUCAUUGGGCGUAAAGCGCACGUAGGCGGCUCGUUAAGUCGGAUGUGAAAGCCCUGGGCUCAACCCAGGAAGUGCAUUCGAAACUGGCGAGCUUGAAUAUGGAAGAGGUCGCGGAAGUUCCCGGUGUAGGGGUGAAAUUCGUAGAUAUCGGGAGGAACACCAGUGGCGAAGGCGGUUACCUGGGAGCUUGCUGACGCUGAUGCGCGAAAGCGUGGGGAGCGAUCCGG
rnacentral:rRNA from 1 species